rnacentral:rRNA from 1 species
UGGAGCGGAAGUGGGGAUGACGUCAAAUCAUCAUGCCCCUUAUGACCUGGGCUACACACGUGCUACAAUGGACGGUACAAAGAGCUGCAAGACCGCGAGGUGGAGCUAAUCUCAUAAAACCGUUCUCAGUUCGGAUUGUAGGCUGCAACUCGCCUACAUGAAGCUGGAAUCGCUAGUAAUCGCGGAUCAGCAUGCCGCGGUGAAUACGUUCCCGGGCCUUGUACACACCGCCCGUCACACCACGAGAGUUUGUAACACCCGAAGUCGGUGGGGUAACCUUUUGGAGCCAG